rnacentral:rRNA from 1 species
UACGGAGGGUGCGAGCGUUAUCCGGAUUCACUGGGUUUAAAGGGUGCGUAGGUGGGUUUGUAAGUCAGUGGUGAAAUCUCCAGGCUUAACCUGGAAACUGCCAUUGAUACUAUAGAUCUUGAAUUUUCUGGAGGUAAGCGGAAUAUGUCAUGUAGCGGUGAAAUGCUUAGAUAUGACAUAGAACACCAAUUGCGAAGGCAGCUGGCUACACAAAUAUUGACACUGAGGCACGAAAGCGUGGGGAUCAAACAGG